CUCCUGCCACCUGGUGGUUGAAAACAUUUUUUUCUUUCUUCUGUUGAUUGUUUUUCUCUUUUAUUCAUAUGAUUGCUAUAAAUUAAUAUUCUAUAUCAUUGUGAGGAUAAGCAUUGUGCCAUAUUAAGAAAUAUGGAAAUAUUACUAAAGUCCACAUGCAUUUCACAACAAUGAGCAAGGAAUAUACUUUAUUUGGGGGAAUAAUAUUUAAAAUCAAAGUUUUUAGCAAUAAUUUAUUAAUAUAUGCUAUAAUGUUUCUUCUUAGUGUGUCUCACAAGUGGUAUUGUUUUUCAGAGAAUCAUCCUUUUAUUUCUACCUUGCUUUGAAAUUUUAUUUAUUUAUCAUUUAUUUAACCUUUUUUGAAGCUGUUCCCAAAGGAUUAAUAUUUUACCAAUCCUUGGAGGGAAAUGCUUUUCUUGUGGAAGAUGUGUCCUCAUAAACUGACUUGCCCAAUAUUUAAUCAAUGAGCAUAUAGAUGGAGGUAAACUAUCCUUAUUAAUGGAGUUUCAAGGUAGGAGAAAUAGUUGUAAAAAUUCUUCUAAACCAUUAAUUUCCCCCUUCUAAUCAGUCUUUUCCUCUUUCCCAUUAUAAGGGCCAAAUGCCUGGGCAAAACCAGAAGGAAUGUGGCAACAGCAGGAUUGGAGCCAGAGAAGCAAGAGGGCACACAUUCUUUUUAAUGGAUCCAGAAAUUACAGCCAGGGAUCACCAUAAAGCUACCUUAAGCAAUAUUCUUAGAUCUUUGGCUAAACAGAGGUCGAAAACAAGACAGCUAUACUUCUAAGGUAUGUUUAGAUUAUUUAUUUUCAGUAAAAUUUCAAAUAUGAUUUGA
rnacentral:lncRNA from 1 species